GGAAAGGCCGCGUGAGGACACAGCGAGAAGGCGGCCACUCACAAGCCGGGAAGAGAGGUCCGCUAGAAACUGAACUUACUGGCACCUGGAUCUUGGACUUUCAGGCUCCAGAACUUGUGCUGGCUUUUGUUCUCAUGCUUGUGCCUCAUGAUCAAAAGUGACCGCCACACACACACAGAUGUCAGGCCCGCACUGAAGCACCUGUCAGAACUGUGUCCAGUGGCCACUGUCAGUUGCUAAGGAGGCUUGGAAGCUCGGAAGCUUUCUAUUCAAUGCUGUUCAACAUGCUGGUCUAAGAAAAGGGAAGGAGACGUGCCCUGUGUUGGAGCUCCUGCUCCAUCAAGUGCAUUGAGAGAUACAGUUGCACCUUGCUCUCUGUGGCAGUUAACAACUUCCCCAAUGUUCUCUGGCAGUUAAGAGGACCGCUGGAACCAUUUGGAAUGGACGUGGCAGAAAGGCACCAUUCUCUUGUUCUUGAUUUUAAAGGGAAUGCUUCUAAUGUUUCACCAUUACGAUGUUAGGUGUAGGUUCUGAGUAGGUCAUCUUACUCAUAUUAACAGAUUUCCCUUCUGUUUCUUACCAUGACUUUGCCAAGUGUUUCUUCUUCCUUUUAAUAAUGAAUAAGUGUGGAAUUUUAUCAAAUGUUCUUUGUGUCCCUAUUGAAGUGUCUGUACUUUUUUCUCCCAUGUUAAUGUGAUUAAUUACAUUCAGAUAUUUUCUAAUGGUAAUCACUCCUGCAUCUCUAGAAUAAUCCCAAUUUAGUCAGAAUGUAGUUUCUGUUCUUUAUGUUACUGGAUCUAGUAUGCUUUUACCAUGUCUAGGAUUUUUUUCAUGUAGAUAAAUGAGAACGACUGUCCCAUAAUUUUCCUUUAUCAUAUGCUCCUUGUCUGAUUUUGGUGUCACAGUUGUGUGGGCCUCAGAGUCAAGCUGGGGAAUGUCCUCCUAUUUUUCUGUUCUCUAGAAAAGUUUAUACCAUAUGAAAUUGUUGUUCUUGUAUAUAAUAAUGAAAAUUCUGGAAUUCUGAGAAAAAAAGUUUUAGUCAACCCAUGUGUACCAUUAACAUUAAUAAUUUUCUUCUACUAACAUACUAAAUAUUAUGUUCAAUUUUUAAAAAUUGAGUGGUUUUAGAUAGCAUAAGUUUUCUUAGCCCUCCAAUUUACUACUUCUUUACUGAAAGAGGUUUUAUUUUUCGGCGCUGCAAAUGAGGAACAUGAUGGCAGCCCCCUGGGGAAAGUUUCAGUGAGCAUGACAUAUGCAAAUGACGGUGCUGGCGGCGGUUUCACCUGGGUGUAACGGGCCACAGUACAGUCACUGGAAUCUUCUCUAGUUGCAGCGAUGUACCUUUGCAUACGUGUGUGCUUCAGCAACAUCCAGACCCUGCCCAGACAGCUUUCGAUUGUUGCAUUUGUAUUUUCUUUGUCACAGGCUUUGAUCCUCUACAAAAUGGGUCUGUUUUUGAUCACCCAUCAAUUAUUGUGCCUAUUUGUUUAAUUUUUUUUCACCUUCUCUAUUGUAGCCAAGGGUUGAUACACUGUGUCACUGGACAUGCCUUAAGUUUGCAACAAAUGUUUGAAUUAUUGUUUGGGGGUUAGUUUUUAAUUCAUUGAUUUUUAUUUAAAACAAAGUUGGAUCUCUCUUGAGAUUUAAUUUUGAAAAUAAGAUUCCCAGAUUGAAAUUUUUGAACUAUCUUUUGAACAAUCCUUUAGUAACAAAACUUUUCCACAGACCAAAUGAUGCUUCUAUCUGCUUCAGGUGUAUGAUGUUUCAGUUUAAAUGAUAUAAAAAAGAUCUGCAUUUAUUUCAAAGAUAUUGUUUACUUCUGUGGCAAAAUGAGAACAAUAAAAAUAAACUCAAGAACCAAGCAAACUUUAAAAGCACUAUACUGUUGUAAAUUCUCAGUAGCAAAAAUAGAAUUGUAUUUAUAUCAAAUUUACAAUUCACAGUCAAUUUCAACUGACCACAUGUUGACAUUCCAUGUUGUACACUCUAAUAUAUGCCUGGAAUAAUCCAUUUCUUUAAAGUGUGGUAGAACUUGCCCAUAAAACCAUAUACAUUACACAUACAUACAUAUACAAUGAGUUCAUGUAAAAACUGGUGAAAACUGAAUAAGAUCUAUAAUCUAGUUAAUUGUAUUGUGGCAGAGUCAAUUUACUGGGUUUGAUGCUGCACUAGUUAUAAAAGGUGUCACCACUGGGGAAAGACGAGUGAAGGGUUCAUAGAAUUCUGUUCUCUUUUCUAUUUCUUGUAAAUUUAAAACUAUUUCAA